rnacentral:rRNA from 1 species
GGGUUGUGAGGUUAAGCGACUAAGCGUACACGGUGGAUGCCCUGGCAGUCAGAGGCGAUGAAGGGCGUGCUAAUCUGCGAUAAGCGCCGGUAAGGUGAUAUGAACCGUUAUAACCGGCGAUACCCGAAUGGGGAAACCCAGUGUGAUUCGUCACACUAUCAUUAACUGAAUCCAUAGGUUAAUGAGGCGAACCGGGGGAACUGAAACAUCUAAGUACCCCGAGGAAAAGAAAUCAACCGAGAUUCCCCCAGUAGCGGCGAGCGAACGGGGAGGAGCCCAGAGCCUGAAUCAGCAUGUGUGUUAGUGGAAGCGUCUGGAAAGGCGCGCGAUACAGGGUGACAGCCCCGUACACAAAAGCGCAUGUGUUGUGAGCUCGAUGAGUAGGGCGGGACACGUGGUAUCCUGUCUGAAUAUGGGGGGACCAUCCUCCAAGGCUAAAUACUCCUGACUGACCGAUAGUGAACCAGUACCGUGAGGGAAAGGCGAAAAGAACCCCGGCGAGGGGAGUGAAAAAGAACCUGAAACCGUGUACGUACAAGCAGUGGGAGCACCCUUUGGGGUGUGACUGCGUACCUUUUGUAUAAUGGGUCAGCGACUUAUAUUCUGUAGCAAGGUUAACCGAAUAGGGGAGCCGGAGGGAAACCGAGUCUUAAUUGGGCGUUAAGUUGCAGGGUAUAGACCCGAAACCCGGUGAUCUAGCCAUGGGCAGGUUGAAGGUUGGGUAACACUAACUGGAGGACCGAACCGACUAAUGUUGAAAAAUUAGCGGAUGACCUGUGGCUGGGGGUGAAAGGCCAAUCAAACCGGGAGAUAGCUGGUUCUCCCCGAAAGCUAUUUAGGUAGCGCCUCGUGAAUUCAUCUCCGGGGGUAGAGCACUGUUUCGGCUAGGGGGCCAUCCCGGCUUACCAACCCGAUGCAAACUGCGAAUACCGGAGAAUGUUAUCACGGGAGACACACGGCGGGUGCUAACGUCCGUCGUGAAGAGGGAAACAACCCAGACCGCCAGCUAAGGUCCCAAAGUCAUAGUUAAGUGGGAAACGAUGUGGGAAGGCCCAGACAGCCAGGAUGUUGGCUUAGAAGCAGCCAUCAUUUAAAGAAAGCGUAAUAGCUCAC